AUAUCUCAGCGAUGAGUCCUGUAGACUGCAGGCUCCACGGCAGUUGCAGCUCCCAGGGCUUCAGAUUGGAGCUGCCUGUGACAUGCAGAGGUGGAAGCACAGCCUCAGCUGUGGUGGACGGCAGCCUCUUUCAGCCCCCAGGUGCAUAACAAAGGCUGUCUUGAUUGUAUCUGUGAGAGUGCCAUGAUUUGGGGUUUUCUCUGUCGGUUUGGACCAGAUCAGAAAGCAAUUGGGACUAUUGUGUCUCUCAUGGAAACCCAAGGUGGGAGAAAGAAGCAGAAGGAGAUCCUGGAACCAAAAACACUUCAGCAAUGAAGACUGGAUUUUCUCUGAAAUGAACAACAAAAUAAAAUCUCUCCUGUAGAUCUCUAAAGCUCUGUGCAUACUUUGUCUAUGCUUUCUAGA
rnacentral:lncRNA from 1 species